UACGUAGGGGGCAAGCGUUGUCCGGAUUUAUUGGGCGUAAAGAGCGUGUAGGCGGCUAGGUAGGUCCGUUGUGAAAACUCGAGGCUCAACCUCGAGACGCCGAUGGAAACCAUCUAGCUAGAGUCCGGAAGAGGAGAGUGGAAUUCCUGGUGUAGCGGUGAAAUGCGCAGAUAUCGGGAGGAACACCAAUUGCGAAGGCAGCUCGCUGGGACGUAACUGACGCUGAGACGCGAAAGCGUGGAGAGCAAACAGG
rnacentral:rRNA from 1 species